rnacentral:lncRNA from 1 species
GCCACGCCACCCCUGAUUUGACAGUAUCCUUUAAGUUCACAUCUCAACAAGCAUAAGAGGGGCUUGAGCAGAGAGAAUGCUUAGAGGCUAAGCGAUGGGCAAGUGAGAGGGAAAGAGCCGCGACAGACAGAGCUGGCUGCCUAGGGGUCUCAGAGGCUUCAUCCUGCAGGCGGCAGGCGGCAGGACAAAGGGACCUUCGCACUCGAGAUCAAGAUUCCAAGGAGUUAAACGCUACCACGCAGCCCGACCUGGAUGGGAUUUGCUCCUGGGUACAAAACGGGACACUGAUCAAAAUCAACUUGGACAAGUGACAAGAGUGAGUCUUAUGUCGGUGGAUGUCUUUUAAGGUCGUUGGAGGGAAGAGGACGGGAGGGGUGUGCCGAGGGGUAGGUGGAGAGAGGCACCGAGUCCAGAGCCGGGAUAUAAAUGCACCAGGAGCCGGGGAGCAGAGGAGCAAAUGAGUGGGGGAAAGAGUGAGAGGAAGAGUUGGAGAAAAGUCGGGGGAAAGUAGGGACAGGGUUAAGGGGAGAGAGGAGGAUGAGGGCGGCGAGGAGAGAUUAAAAGGGGAAGGGGGGUCGCUGGAGAGGAGGGCGGACUGUGGAUCGGAGGUAGGGAGAGGGGCGAGGGGAGUGCGCGGGGUGGGG